GAGUGAAGAAGGGUUUCGGCUCGUAAAACUCUGUUGUUAAAGAAGAACAUAUCUGAGAGUAACUGUUCAGGUAUUGACGGUAUUUAACCAGAAAGCCACGGCUAACUACGUGCCAGCAGCCGCGGUAAUACGUAGGUGGCAAGCGUUGUCCGGAUUUAUUGGGCGUAAAGCGAGCGCAGGCGGUUUUUUAAGUCUGAUGUGAAAGCCUUCGGCUCAACCGAAGAAGUGCAUCGGAAACUGGGAAACUUGAGUGCAGAAGAGGACAGUGGAACUCCAUGUGUAGCGGUGAAAUGCGUAGAUAUAUGGAAGAACACCAGUGGCGAAGGCGGCUGUCUGGUCUGUAACUGACGCUGAGGCUCGAAAGUAUGGGUAGCAAACAGGAUUAGAUACCCUGGUAGUCCAUACCGUAAACGAUGAAUGCUAAGUGUUGGAGGGUUUCCGCCCUUCAGUGCUGCAGCUAACGCAUUAAGCAUUCCGCCUGGGGAGUACGGCCGCAAGGCUGAAACUCAAAGGAAUUGACGGGGGCCCGCACAAGCGGUGGAGCAUGUGGUUUAAUUCGAAGCUACGCGAAGAACCUUACCAGGUCUUGACAUACUAUGCAAAUCUAAGAGAUUAGACGUUCCCUUCGGGGACAUGGAUACAGGUGGUGCAUGGUUGUCGUCAGCUCGUGUCGUGAGAUGUUGGGUUAAGUCCCGCAACGAGCGCAACCCUUAUUAUCAGUUGCCAGCAUUAAGUUGGGCACUCUGGUGAGACUGCCGGUGACAAACCGGAGGAAGGUGGGGAUGACGUCAAAUCAUCAUGCCCCUUAUGACUGGGCUAC
rnacentral:rRNA from 2 species